rnacentral:rRNA from 1 species
GACAGAGGUCCCGAGCGUUAGGCGGAAUCACUGGGCUUAAAGCGUGUGUAGGCGGAUUUGUAAGUACCUUGUGAAAUCCCACGGCUCAACCGUGGAACUGCCUGGUAUACUGCUUAUCUUGGGCCAUCUAGGGGCUACCGGAACAAGUGGUGGAGCGGUGAAAUGCGUAGAUAUCACUUGGAACGCCAAUGGUGAAAACAGGUAGCUGGGGAUGUGCCGACGCUGAGACACGAAAGCCAGGGGAGCGAACGGG